rnacentral:tRNA from 1 species
UCCCUUGUGGCUCAGCUGGUAAAGAAUCCGUCUGCAAAGUGGGAGGCCUAGGUUCGAUCCCUGGGUUGGGAA